AGGCAACAUCUAUGAACCGUAGCAAAGGCAUAGUCAUGGGUAUUUGUGUCUGGCCGGGUGCAGAGAAAAUUGAGCAACUUAUCUGGAUUCACAGCUAUAGAAAGGUUAACCUUAUAAUAGUUGCCCUAGGACAAGCUUGAAGAGAAAGCCAUUUAACUUUAAUGAAUAACUUAAAAUACAAAGGGCUAGUUAUUCCAAGUGUUCCUUGGACAGAAGGAAAAAGGUUUUCUUGAGAAAAGACUGAGAAAAGCUUAGUCAUUCAGACCCAAAAAAGCAGGGGAAAACAGGUCUUGCGCAGGAAGAAGUUAGGAGAAAAUUCUAUUGUACAAACGAGGAUCCUCUGAAUUACCCCAUCCCAGAAGCAGGUUCCACAAGGAGACUAAAUUUAAUUAGCAGAGGUGAACUGUGCUUUAUUUUUUCCUUUUUUUUCAGAGCUCUCCCCUCUCUUGCAGUAGCAGUAAUGUACGUGCCUCUCCCCGUGAGGUGGCGUGGAACAGCGAUGCUGAAGGAAACACUGACCUUUUUGGUUCGAUUUACCGGAGAGGGGCUUGGACAAUGCAGUGGUCAACUUGCUGAUUGCCAGUCUGCUUUGCUGCUCCAACCUGUGCACUGUUCGGUGAGGUCAGGUGUAGGAACAGGAAUCAGAAGGAUGACAUUCCAAGAACAGGAGUAA
rnacentral:lncRNA from 1 species